rnacentral:rRNA from 1 species
AAAUUGAAGAGUUUGAUCAUGGCUCAGAUUGAACGCUGGCGGCAGGCCUAACACAUGCAAGUCGAGCGGUAGCACAGAGAGCUUGCUCUCGGGUGACGAGCGGCGGACGGGUGAGUAAUGUCUGGGAAACUGCCUGAUGGAGGGGGAUAACUACUGGAAACGGUAGCUAAUACCGCAUAACGUCGCAAGACCAAAGUGGGGGACCUUCGGGCCUCAUGCCAUCAGAUGUGCCCAGAUGGGAUUAGCUAGUAGGUGGGGUAAUGGCUCACCUAGGCGACGAUCCCUAGCUGGUCUGAGAGGAUGACCAGCCACACUGGAACUGAGACACGGUCCAGACUCCUACGGGAGGCAGCAGUGGGGAAUAUUGCACAAUGGGCGCAAGCCUGAUGCAGCCAUGCCGCGUGUGUGAAGAAGGCCUUCGGGUUGUAAAGCACUUUCAGCGGGGAGGAAGGCGGUGAGGUUAAUAACCUCACCGAUUGACGUUACCCGCAGAAGAAGCACCGGCUAACUCCGUGCCAGCAGCCGCGGUAAUACGGAGGGUGCAAGCGUUAAUCGGAAUUACUGGGCGUAAAGCGCACGCAGGCGGUCUGUCAAGUCGGAUGUGAAAUCCCCGGGCUCAACCUGGGAACUGCAUUCGAAACUGGCAGGCUAGAGUCUUGUAGAGGGGGGUAGAAUUCCAGGUGUAGCGGUGAAAUGCGUAGAGAUCUGGAGGAAUACCGGUGGCGAAGGCGGCCCCCUGGACAAAGACUGACGCUCAGGUGCGAAAGCGUGGGGAGCAAACAGGAUUAGAUACCCUGGUAGUCCACGCCGUAAACGAUGUCGAUUUGGAGGUUGUGCCCUUGAGGCGUGGCUUCCGGAGCUAACGCGUUAAAUCGACCGCCUGGGGAGUACGGCCGCAAGGUUAAAACUCAAAUGAAUUGACGGGGGCCCGCACAAGCGGUGGAGCAUGUGGUUUAAUUCGAUGCAACGCGAAGAACCUUACCUGGUCUUGACAUCCACAGAACUUUCCAGAGAUGGAUUGGUGCCUUCGGGAACUGUGAGACAGGUGCUGCAUGGCUGUCGUCAGCUCGUGUUGUGAAAUGUUGGGUUAAGUCCCGCAACGAGCGCAACCCUUAUCCUUUGUUGCCAGCGGUUAGGCCGGGAACUCAAAGGAGACUGCCAGUGAUAAACUGGAGGAAGGUGGGGAUGACGUCAAGUCAUCAUGGCCCUUACGACCAGGGCUACACACGUGCUACAAUGGCAUAUACAAAGAGAAGCGACCUCGCGAGAGCAAGCGGACCUCAUAAAGUAUGUCGUAGUCCGGAUUGGAGUCUGCAACUCGACUCCAUGAAGUCGGAAUCGCUAGUAAUCGUAGAUCAGAAUGCUACGGUGAAUACGUUCCCGGGCCUUGUACACACCGCCCGUCACACCAUGGGAGUGGGUUGCAAAAGAAGUAGGUAGCUUAACCUUCGGGAGGGCGCUUACCACUUUGUGAUUCAUGACUGGGGUGAAGUCGUAACAAGGUAACCGUAGGGGAACCUGCGGUUGGAUCACCUCCUUA